rnacentral:lncRNA from 1 species
GGCGUCACAUAUCUUUUUUCCUUGCUGGUGUUUUUAUUUUCAGAGCCUCUCCUCCUCUUCCUCUCUUCCUCCUCCAGAUAUCUCAUUGCUUUGGAGUAUUCAAGGUAUUUGAAGAAGAAGGAAGAGAUCAGCCGUCGAAGUUGCUUGCAGGCUAGCACCUCCAAGAUCCUAAUCUACGUCAGUCUUCACAUAAAUUUUCUGUAGAGGCCAAACGACUUCGUGUGGCUGCGAGCGAUCUAAAGAACAUCCUCUCCAAGCAUUGGACUAG